UACGUAGGGGGCUAGCGUUGUCCGGAUUUAUUGGGCGUAAAGAGCGUGUAGGCGGCCAUGUAGGUCCGGUGUGAAAACUCGAGGCUUAACCUCGAGAUGUCAUCGGAAACCAUUUGGCUAGAGUCCGGAAGAGGAGAGUGGGAUUCCUGGUGUAGCGGUGAAAUGCGCAGAUAUCAGGAAGAACACCAAUAGCGAAAGCAGCUCUCUGGGCCGGUACUGACGCUGAGACGCGAAAGCGUGGGGAGCGAACAGG
rnacentral:rRNA from 1 species